CGAGAUGGAGUAGCGGGGGGCGGCAGGUCAGGAUUGAGGGGCGCUGGCAGAGGUCUGGGUGGGACACGAGAUGAAGUAGCGGGGGGCUGCAGGUCAGGAUUGAGGGGCACUGGCAGAGGUCUGGGUGGGACCCGAGAUGGAGUAGCGGGGGGCGGCAGGUCAGGAUUGAGGGGCGCUGGCAGAGCUCUGGGUGGGACCCGAGAUGGAGUAGCAGGGGGCUGCAGGUCAGGAUUGAGGGGUGCUGGCAGAGGUCUGGGUGGGACCCGAGAUGGAGUAGCGGGGGGCUGCAGGUCAGGAUUGAGGGGCACUGGCAGAGCUACUUGCAGGAUGCCGUGGACUGGGAUAGCAGGCUGGAACUGAAGUGCACCAUCGCCCCUGCCCCUCUCUUGUAACCUGAGACUCAGGCUCCCUUUCUGGAUGGUGAAGUGCCCCUGCCUGGGCAAUGUGGGGUAAUGUUUUUCUCCCAGCAAAAGUGCCCCCUGCAGGGCUGCGGCAGCCCUUCUCGCAGUGGUUUUUGCAUGGCUGGAGCUUGGAGCUAUUUCCCCUGAGGCAGCUGCAGUUUUGCAUGUCUCGUUGAGCUGGGAGUUACGUGGCACUUCGCAGGGCAAGCACUGCAGCGCUCUGAGGGUGCACUGACGUGGCAUCUAACCGGGACCCUCAAUAGAGCACAGCAAAUCAUGGCAUUCAAGAGGCACUAGACCCCCGCGGCUGGCUCCAGUCAGCUGACUCAGGCUCGUGGGGCUUGCGUGGGGGGGCUAUCAGACUGCAGUGUAGACGCUCAGCUUGGGCUAGAGCCUGAGCUCUGGGACCUCGUGAGGAGGGAGGCCAGCCGCGGGUGUUUAACUGCAGUGUAGACAUACCCUUUCAUUCCGGGCCCGAAGAUGCCACCUUGCACUACGAAGAAUUUCUCAAGGGUGAAGUUAGCACUGGUGCAAGGAGCUGGAUCGGCUAUUUACCAUUGACCCCAGCUCAGCUACAGCACAAGCAGAGCAUCUGCCUCUGGGGCCAGAGGGAUAGUCAGUCUCCAGGGCUCAUUCAUUGGAUGGCUUUUUUGCUGAGUGCCAGCUCUGGUGAUAGUCACCAGUUCACUAGGAACUGGACUGAGACUCCUCAAACUCAUCAUUCCAUAUGGGCCAGUCUUCAGAUAGUCACUGCUCUUAAUGACUUGGGCUGGAUCCCAGUUUAUUGGUGAUAAAAUUUUGGACAGCUCACCCAGGGGUGAUUCCAAAGCCAACUGAAGCCCCUGAGGGAAUGUCUACAUUGCAAUUAAACGCUCAGGGCUGGCCUGUGCCAGCUGACUCAGGCUCACAGGGCUCGGACUAGGGGGCUGUUGAACUGGUUUUCCAGGCUUCUCGGACUCUGCCAGGAGCUCUUGCAGCAGGGGAAACAGGAAGAGCUGCCCAUCAUAUGCAGUCAUGGCUGAGAAAGAAGCCACUUUUAUAAAUCUGAGGAAGGGGCGUGGCUAGAGCAUUGGCCACGCCUCUGGAUGGCCCUUGCCCCACCCGAAUUGGGGAAGCAGAUAAUAAAAGCCUGCAGCUGCUUUCUCGGUAGUGUGAUGUGCUUGUUUAAGAGACCAGCUGGCCCAGCCCUAAGUGGAUAGAGGAAGAGGCUAAGCAUCUCUCCCACACUAGCCAGUCCCCCUUGAUCAUUAGCUCCUG